rnacentral:rRNA from 1 species
GUGGGGAAUAUUGCACAAUGGGCGAAAGCCUGAUGCAGCAACGCCGCGUGAGCGAAGAAGGCCUUUGGGUCGUAAAGCUCUGUCGGAAGGGAAGAAACAAAUGACGGUACCUUCUGAGGAAGCCCCGGCUAACUACGUGCCAGCAGCCGCGGUAAUACGUAGGGGGCAAGCGUUAUCCGGAAUUAUUGGGCGUAAAGAGUGCGUAGGUGGUCUUGUAAGCGUGGGGUGAAAGGCAGUGGCUUAACCAUUGUAAGCCUUGCGAACUGUAAGACUUGAGUGCAGGAGAGGAAAGCGGAAUUCCUAGUGUAGCGGUGAAAUGCGUAGAUAUUAGGAGGAACACCAGUGGCGAAGGCGGCUUUCUGGACUGUAACUGACACUGAGGCACGAAAGCGUGGGGAGCAAACAGGAUUAGAUACCCUAGUAGUCC